GAAAAGAACCCACCGCCGCCGAAAAAAAAAAGGGAAAACCUAUCCUCCUGCGCGGCGCCGCCCGCCGCUCGCCUCCUGCGCGCCCGCCGGCGCCGCUCCGCUCGCGUGGCUGCGCUCCCGAUUUCCCUACCCCGCCGCUGCCUCGGAUCGCCUGUGGCCGCCGCCUCCCGCCGGAGCCGUCGUCGUUGCCGAGGAAGCGGGCCGCAUCGCCGCCGCCGCCUCCUACGCGCGUAACGCGCCCGCCCCCCACCGCCCCGCAUCCCCCCUUCCCCUGCUGACGGGUGCUGCACCGUGCCGGCGCCGGAACGGCGAGGUUCACAUCCGUCCUGCUGCCUCCCCUCCCUUCUAGCCCUCCGCAGCCGCCGUCAUCAACGUCCUCCGCGGCAACCGCACGUCGCCGGGUCCGCCGCCACCACUGGAACGCCGCCCUUCCUCCAACCGCCCCUUCCAACCCCAUCGCCCCCUCCUCAGCUGAUCACCCCGCCGCCGCAGAAGGUUGUCAGGACGGCCGCCGGCGAGGCUUCCCGCUCCUCCAUCCUGUUCAGGUCAGCGGGCAGGCCGUGCUACACGUUCUUCGCUUCGCCGACGAUGGUGGUCAAGCAGUUUACUGCAGCAAAGUUGGUUCUACAUAUUGUGACAUCGAUCUCGUUCUUGGCUCUGAGAAUGGCACACCGCUCAUGAGUCAUGAUUGGCAUAUUCAGGAACUUAAAUUGUCCAUAAGGAAGCUUUACUAAGAAAUAAAGAAAAUCGCUCCAUGAUCUGAUGAUUGUUGAGGCUUGAUAGGUCUGCUCUCUUUCUCACACUGAAACUAAAAAAAAUCGCGUUGUUCCUAUUUUCUGAAUGUAUGUGUCCACUAUAUUAUCGACAAAGUAGACUAUUUGAUUACCUGGAACCCAAAUCACAAAUACUGGUAUGCAAUCUACAUUUGGCCAUAGGUUCAGUUCUUGCAGUUACUAAUUUACUCCGUUGCAACUGAAACACUCACAGAUUUUUAGUUGAUUAGCAUUUAGUCGUAAACUUAGAGGUAUAAUUGCUCAGCUGCUAAGAUCUGUUUUAUAGAUCAGUUAAUAAUUAAUUUCUUUUGGAUUCAGCAGUAGUGCCAGACCGAUUGGCAUGACAUGUUUGCCUCCAUUCAGUAAAAUUCAUCUGAAUUCAAAGUGUUCCAACUGUGGCGUUUUGCUUCUGAACAGCUCCCCAACUUGCACUUGAUGCGAUGGUUCUGUUUUGCUGCUAAAAGUCAGGUUCAAUUGAAUAUCUUUUAAUUUCAGAGCUGCAAGUACAUCUUCAAUUAAAUAACUUUUCUUUUCCUUUUCAUUUUCUGCUAAAAAGCUAGGUUCAAUUGAAUACCCUCUCCAACCUAAUUUUCUAUUUGCUCGGAUGUAUGUAUCUAUUAACUCAGAAAUGAAGAUGGCAGGAUAGCCUAGGUUUGGAGACUAUUUUUAGUUCACGACUUCAUAUAUCACUCGCUUAGAUUUUACUAAUCUUAAUUUGUUGAUAUGUGCAACCUAAUUUUCUAUUUUUUUUUCAGAUUUUUGUUCCUAUUAACUCUGAAAUGAACAUGGCAGGAUGACUUAGGUUCGGAGAUUUUUUUUAGUUCAGUUCAGGGCUUCAUGUAGCACUAGCUUAGAUUUUACUAAUCUCUAUCGAUAUGUCCAACCUAAUUUUCUAAUUGUUUAGAUUUUGCACCUAUUAACUCUGAGAUGAAACUGGUAUGAUGGCUUAGAUUUGGAGAUGUUUUUAAUUCUGGACUUCAUAUACCAAUCACUUAGAUUUUACUAAAUUUGGUUUAUAUUGUUACUAAAAUAUGUUGAUACAGUGAGUCCUGAAGACUAAGCUGAAGAUCACAAAUCAUCUACUGCCAUAGGAGUAAAAUAAACUAUAUUGCUCCAUAUUUCUCUAUAUUUGAUUAUAUCAAUGUAGGUUUCCAAAAGGAAAACAAUGGGUACUGUUUCUUUAGGGAAUAAAAAAGCAGUGCUUUCUGCAGUUCCUAUAGAAAUAGCUCAAUAUAUCUUAUUGCCUCUGUCAGGCAUUUCAAUUCAGCUGAGAUACAAUAUGUAGCAUCCACAACAGGUUGAAACGAGCUGAUUACUGACGGAUGAUCAGUGUCAAGUGAGCUAUACAAAAUAUAAUUUUCAAUUCCAACAAAUUGUGAAACUUUACCAUUUAAAUUUGCAGACAAACAAGUUACAUAUGUUAUACAUAUACAGCUAUGGCCAAGUUAUAUGUUUGGAUUAAUUAUUUUUUCCCAUGUAAAUCUAAUAAUGGCCUGGUAUAUAUGGAUGGUUGACAGCAGGGGAGAGCAGCAAAGCUGCUGCACCUGACCACUGCACAUCUUUGGCUCUUCCUUUCUGGCCACUCUAGGAGAUGGAUUACAAGCGAGGCAAGGGCUCCAGAUCAAUAUCAUCCAGAAGAAAGUAGUACUAAUUUAAAAAAAAACUUGUUAUUUUAUAUAUUGCACUACUUAUAAUUUAUAAUUUACAGAUGCCUAAAUAUAUAGGAUGUUGAUUUAUUAAUGUUUUUAUCACCGAACUACUCCACAGCUAAAUGCCAGAGAGGAUGGAUUUCUCAGCAAUUGUCUCCACAAUUCUGAAGCAGUGACCAUACUUAUAAAAUAGUUCAUGUAUUGAUAAAUUGGAUAUAUGUCAAAAUGUUCACUGAGUUAAAUGCUAGGAGCAAGUUGAAUAUAUUAAAGUUUUCAAGGGAAUCA